rnacentral:tRNA from 2 species
GGGCUCAUAGCUCAACGGGUUAGAGCGCUGUCCUGAUAAGGCAGAGGUUCCUGGUUCAAGUCCAGGUGAGCCCACCA